rnacentral:rRNA from 1 species
GACAGAGGCCCCGAGCGUUAGGCGGAAUCACUGGGCUUAAAGCGUGUGUAGGCGGACCCCUAAGUGUCUUGUGAAAUCCCACGGCUCACCCGUGGAACUGCUGGGAAUACUGGGGGUCUUGGGCCGUUCAGGGGCGACUGGAACAAGCGGUGGAGCGGUGAAAUGCGUAGAUAUCGCUUGGAACGCCGAAGGUGAAAACAGGUCGCUGGGGACGCGCCGACGCUGAGACACGAAAGCCAGGGGAGCAAACGGG